UACGUAGGGUGCAAGCGUUAAUCGGAAUUACUGGGCGUAAAGCGUGCGCAGGCGGUUCUAUAAGACAGAUGUGAAAUCCCCGGGCUCAACCUGGGAACUGCAUUUGUGACUGUAGAGCUGGAGUACGGCAGAGGGGGAUGGAAUUCCGCGUGUAGCAGUGAAAUGCGUAGAUAUGCGGAGGAACACCGAUGGCGAAGGCAAUCCCCUGGGCCUGUACUGACGCUCAGUGCACGAAAGCGUAGGGGAGCGAAACAAGGAAUUGAUGAAACCCGGUAACCG
rnacentral:rRNA from 1 species